GGUAGCUCAGUGGUUAAGAGCGCUGGCUGCUAUUCCAGAGGUCCUGAGUUCAAUUCCCAGUACCC
rnacentral:tRNA from 1 species